rnacentral:rRNA from 1 species
GUAGGUGGCAAGCGUUGUCCGGAAUUAUUGGGCGUAAAGCGCGCGCAGGCGGUCCUUUAAGUCUGAUGUGAAAGCCCACGGCUCAACCGUGGAGGGUCAUUGGAAACUGGGGGACUUGAGUACAGAAGAGGAGAGCGGAAUUCCAAGUGUAGCGGUGAAAUGCGUAGAGAUUUGGAGGAGCACCAGUGGCGAAGGCGGCUUUCUGGUCUGUAACUGACGCUGAGGCGCGAAAGCGUGGGGAGCAAACAGGGAUUAGAUACCCUGGUAGUCCACGCCGUAAACGAUGAGUGCUAAGUGUUAGGGGGUUUCCGCCCCCUUAGUGCUGCAGCUAACGCAUUAAGCACUCCGCCUGGGGAGUACGGCCGCAAGGCUG